GUUAUUUGUAAUAUAUGACUCCCAAUCAGGGAUGGGUGGGAUAGAUGCUUGUUUUCACCUGGGGAGUUGGUGGGUAGUUGUCUUUUGCACUGCUAGUGUUCUUAGCCUGUGAAACUGUUGUCUGUCGUUCUUUUGUUUUGUUGUUUUUGAGGUUCUCUUUAUUUAAUAAAUUAUAAAGAUGAGCAUCCACAUUCCCGCUGUGUUUUGGUCAUCUCUACCCAAUGACAACCGUGACAACUCCGCCCCCUUUGGCAGUUCUAUCUUGAUGGAAAAUGUUGUAGUUGGGGAUGGAAAUUUCUGAAUUUAUGGUGGCCUUCCUAAGCCAUGAUUCAGACAUGGCUAGGACAUCAGGGUUGGCAGAGUGUGCUGAAGCAGUGAAUAAACAAACUUAGGGAGGAGGCUUCUGAUGAACAGAGGAGGAGUAGGAUAAGGGUACUACUAAAGGCUAUAAGAACUGGUCAUCUAGUGCAUUGGGAACAGAGAAUAAAAUGAGCAGAUUUCUGGGCGUGGUAGAAUAGAUUCAGGGCAUAAUGUACAGACAAGGGUAUGGUAGGAUGUGAGUACAGUUGAGGUAAACCUAGGCAUUGAGUGAUGAUGAGAGAGGUUGCGUCUCUGGAGGCACCAGUUAAGCCAGGUGAGGUCUCUGCAUGCUUGGUGGGUGGGACAAAAGAGCUAUCUAAGGCAUGUUGAGCAGGACUGGGGGCUCUACAGUGAAAUAAAACAAUAACUAACCGAAACAGCAGUAGACAAGGCAUAUUGACAUUAGAGAGAGACAUGAAGCAAUCACAGGUGUUGGUCGGAAGAGCUAAGACAACAACGGGUAAAUGGCGAUGAAUAGGCAGAGAGGGUCAGUUAGGUACACACAAGACCUGAGUUCAAGGCUGGGACCGACAGAUAAAGAAAAUGAGGUACCGUGCUAAUGAACAGACCAGCAGGCAUCAGCUGUGUAGCCGAAUGAUUAUAGGGUCAAAUGAGCAGCAAUAGGUGAGUCAGAAAGCCGUUUGGUAGUCGCUACUACUCUAGGCGAGCGGGAGACACAGCGUUCAGAAUGCUAGCGGGCCGGGCUAGCAGAUGGGUCUUCAGCGACAUCGCAACGGAAAAGCCUGUUGAAACCACAUCGGACGACUACAUCGGCAGACCAGUCGUGAUGGAUCGGCGUGGCUCCGUGUCGACAUUAAAGGGUACAGGCCAAUUGCCAAAAGAGGUAUUGUAGCUCAAGAAUUAGCUGGUAUACUUCGUCGCCUAGCUGGGAGAUGGGCCUAGCUCGAGGCUAGCUCAAGGCUGACUGGUGCUUGCUUUGAAGGAAACAUGGGGAAAACUGCUUUUAAAGUAACAUGGGGAAAACGGCUUUGAAGGUAACAUUGGGGAAGACUGCUGUGAAGGUAACAUGGGGAGGACUGCUGUGAAGGUGACAUGGGGAAGACUGCUGUGAAAGUAACAUGGGGAAAACUGCUGUGAAGGUAACAUGGGGAAAACUGCUGUGAAGAUAACAUGGGGAGGACUGCUGUGAAGGUAACAUGGGGAGGACUUGCUGUGAAGGUAACAUGGGGAGGACUGCUGUGAAGGUGACAUGGGGAGGACUGCUGUGAAGGUCCCAUGGGGAAGACUGCUGUGAAGGUAACAUGGGGAGGACUGCUGUGAAGGUAACAUGGGGAAGACUGCUGUGAAGGUAACAUGGGGAAGACUGCUGUGAAGGUAACAUGGGGAAGACUGCUGUGAAGGUAACAUGGGGAAGACUGCUGUGAAGGAAACAUGGGGAGGGCUAAUGUGAAGGUUUUUACCAAUGACCUGCCACUGGCAUUAAACAAAGCCUGUGUGUCCAUGUAUGCUGAUGAUUCAACCAUAUGCGUGUCAGCAACCACAGCUAAU
rnacentral:lncRNA from 1 species